rnacentral:rRNA from 1 species
GCACAAGCAGCGGAGCGUGUGGUUAAUUCGAGGCUACACGAAGAACCUUACCAGGGUUUGACAUGCAAGUGGUAGGAAUCCGAAAGGUGACCGACCCUUCGGGGAGCUUGCACAGGUGCUGCAUGGCUGUCGUCAGCUCGUGUCGUGAGAUGCUCGGUUAAGUCCGCUAACGAGCGCAACCCUCGUCGUGUGUUAUACGUGUCACACGAUACUGCCGGUAUCAAGCCGGAGGAAGGUGGGGAUGAUGUCAAGUCAGCAUGGCCUUUAUAUCCUGGGCUACACACACGCUACAAUGGCAGAUACAAUAGGUUGCGAAACCGCGAGGUGGAGCCAAUCCUCAAAGUCUGUCUCAGUUCAGAUUGUAGGCUGCAACUCGCCUGCAUGAAGUCGGAAUCGCUAGUAAUCGCAGGUCAGCAUACUGCGGUGAAUACGUUCCCGGGCCUU